AACGAACGCUGGCGGCAUGCCUAACACAUGCAAGUCGAACGAGACCUUCGGGUCUAGUGGCGCACGGGUGCGUAACGCGUGGGAACCUGCCUUUAGGUUCGGAAUAACUCAGAGAAAUUUGAGCUAAUACCGGAUGAUGUCUUCGGACCAGAGAUUUAUCGCCUUUAGAUGGGCCCGCGUUGGAUUAGCUAGUUGGUGGGGUAAAGGCCUACCAAGGCGACGAUCCAUAGCUGGUCUGAGAGGAUGAUCAGCCACACUGGGACUGAGACACGGCCCAGACUCCUACGGGAGGCAGCAGUGGGGAAUAUUGGACAAUGGGCGAAAGCCUGAUCCAGCAAUGCCGCGUGAGUGAUGAAGGCCUUAGGGUUGUAAAGCUCUUUUACCCGAGAUGAUAAUGACAGUAGCGGGAGAAUAAGCUCCGGCUAACUCCGUG
rnacentral:rRNA from 1 species